rnacentral:rRNA from 1 species
UACGGAGGGAGCUAGCGUUGUUCGGAAUUACUGGGCGUAAAGCGCACGUAGGCGGCUACUCAAGUCAGAGGUGAAAGCCCGGGGCUCAACCCCGGAACUGCCUUUGAAACUAGGUAGCUAGAAUCUUGGAGAGGUCAGUGGAAUUCCGUGUGUAGAGGUGAAAUUCGUAGAUAUUCGGAAGAACACCAGUGGCGAAGGCGACUGACUGGACAAGUAUUGACGCUGAGGUGCGAAAGCGUGGGGAGCAAACAGG